CACCUCAGCCUCCCAACUAGCUGAACUACAGAACCAUGUGUUGAAGUCGUAACCUCCAAUGCGAUGGUAUCAGGAGAUGGGGCAGUUGGAGUGGCAUGAAGACUCCCAAUGGCCAACAGCAGUCUCAACAUCCAAUUCAAUGGAGCUGCAGUUGUGUCCUCUGGUGGAAGCAUUUGUCUCUUGGGAGCUAUGACCGUGACCUCCAAACCUGCAGAGCUCAGAGCUGUGGAGAUGGGAAGAAAAAUUCUGCAAGCAGGUUAUUAGGUGUUCAGUGAGAGGAGCUGCUCCCAUGUCUAUCUGGAAUCCUAUAUUCUGGUGACGAGAGAAAAAGCAUCACAUUCUGACUGAUUUGUGAUCCAAAGCAUAAACUGCAUCCUGUACAAUAGAAGUCAAAUCCUUUCAAGUUCUUCUUUCACCCUGGACGAUUUUCUCUUGAGAGAUCAUUUAUCGUACCAGAAAUCUGGUAUGGUAAAGCAGAUUUUGGAGGCAAAGACAGGGAGGUGAGGCCUGAGUCUUGAAACAGAAAGAAAAGAGGACCAUAGAGAGAAAGCACACAGAGGGGCCCAGACUUUGUGUUGUUCAUGUCCUUGAGUGAGGGGUUAACAGGGAGAAGAAGAGUCAGUAGAGGAGUUCUCAUAAGAAGAACUCAUAAGUGCCACAUGAAUUGCUCUAAAGACAGAGUCUCAAGGAGAGAGGCUCAGCACUUCCAGGCACCACAGGUUAGCCAGCAGAGAGGGAUGAGCUUGGCUCUGGGCAUCCCUUGCUAGGGCACCCAUUCUCUGUGAACUCUUGUGCCUCAAUCUCAUUGACUGGCUUUCGAGGCUUAAAGCAGAAAAGCACCGUGUAACUUGGCUUAGGAAUUGCUCUUAGGCAAAUCUAUAGAUCCUGGUCUUUUUACAUCUACUCUCCCCAGAAGCCAGCAGUGGGAGCUCCACUGAUGAGUCCAAAUGGAAAACGUUCCUGGGUAUUUUUGGUUCCCAGCCCCAUCUUCCAGCCUGGAGAGGAGGGUUGUAACAGUUCACAACAUGAGUUCUGGUCAAAAUUCAGUUACUCCAGCAGCAAAAGCCAAACCUGUGAGAGGCAGAGGGGUUGUGCCUUCAGACUGGCUCUUGUACAGGGUGAGAAGACCUUGUGCUGAUAGGACUCACCUGUUUGGCACAGGCGGCACCCAUUGGCGCUGUUCAUGGUCCUGAACUACAGCUGCUGGUCUCUCUCUCUCUCUCUCUUUUUUUUUUUUUUUGA